rnacentral:rRNA from 1 species
CCUACGGGGGGCAGCAGUAGGGAAUUUUCGUCAAUGGGCGCAAGCCUGAACGAGCAAUGCCGCGUGAACGAGGAAGGUCUUCGGAUCGUAAAGUUCUGUUGAAGGGGAAAAAGAGCGGAGAGAGGAAAUGGUCUCCGAUUGAUAUUACCCUUCGAGGAAGUCACGGCUAACUACGUGCCAGCAGCCGCGGUAAUACGUAGGUGGCGAGCGUUAUCCGGAAUGAUUGGGCGAAAAGGGUGCGUAGGCGGCCGGCUAAGUCUGGGGUGAAAGGUCCCGGCUCAACCGGUAUAGGGUCUGGAAACUGGCGGGCUAGAGAGCAGGAGAGGGCGGUGGAACUCCAUGUGUAGCGGUAAAAUGCGUAGAUAUAUGGAAGAACACCAGUGGCGAAGGCGGCCGCCUGGCCUGUUACUGACGCUGAGGCACGAAAGCGUGGGGAGCAAAUAGGAUUAGAUACCCUUGUAGUC